GUAGGGAAUAUUGCGCAAUGGGGGAAACCCUGACGCAGCGACGCCGCGUGAGUGAUGAAGGCCUUCGGGUCGUAAAGCUCUGUUGCAGGGGAAUAAAAAAAUGAAGGUACCCUGUGAGGAAGGAGCGGCUAACUUCGUGCCAGCAGCCGCGGUAAGACGAGGGAUCCUAGCGUUGCUCGGAAUCAUUGGGCGUAAAGAGGGCGUAGGUGGCUUGGUAAGUCAGGUGUGAAAGCCCAGGGCUCAACCCUGGAAGUGCAUUUGAUACUGCUGAGCUAGAGUGUCGGAGAGGUUACCGGAAUACCUGGUGUAGUGGUGAAAUACGUAGAUAUCAGGUGGAACACCGGAGGCGAAGGCGGGUAACUGGACGAACACUGACACUGAGGCCCGAAAGCGUGGGGAUCAAACAGGAUUAGAAACCCGAGUAGUCC
rnacentral:rRNA from 1 species